rnacentral:rRNA from 1 species
GAUGAACGCUGGCGGCGUGCCUAAUACAUGCAAGUCGAGCGAACAGACGAGGAGCUUGCUCCUCUGACGUUAGCGGCGGACGGGUGAGUAACACGUGGAUAACCUACCUAUAAGACUGGGAUAACUUCGGGAAACCGGAGCUAAUACCGGAUAAUAUAUUGAACCGCAUGGUUCAAUAGUGAAAGACGGUUUUGCUGUCACUUAUAGAUGGAUCCGCGCCGCAUUAGCUAGUUGGUAAGGUAACGGCUUACCAAGGCAACGAUGCGUAGCCGACCUGAGAGGGUGAUCGGCCACACUGGAACUGAGACACGGUCCAGACUCCUACGGGAGGCAGCAGUAGGGAAUCUUCCGCAAUGGGCGAAAGCCUGACGGAGCGACGCCGCGUGAGUGAUGAAGGUCUUCGGAUCGUAAAACUCUGUUAUUAGGGAAGAGCAAAUGUGUAAGUAACUAUGCACGUCUUGACGGUACCUAAUCAGAAAGCCACGGCUAACUACGUG